AGAGUUUGAUCCUGGCUCAGGAUGAACGCUGGCGGCGUGCUUAACACAUGCAAGUCGAACGAACCUUCGGGUUAGUGGCGGACGGGUGAGUAACGCGUGAGAAUCUGCCCUCAGGAGGGGGAUAACGGUUGGAAACGACCGCUAAUACCCCAUAUGCCUACUGGUGAAACGAAUUUCGCCUGAGGAUGAGCUCGCGUCUGAUUAGCUAGUUGGUGAGGUAAUGGCUCACCAAGGCUUCGAUCAGUAGCUGGUCUGAGAGGAUGGUCAGCCACACUGGGACUGAGACACGGCCCAGACUCCUACGGGAGGCAGCAGUGGGGAAUUUUCCGCAAUGGGCGAAAGCCUGACGGAGCAACGCCGCGUGAGGGACGAAGGCCUCUGGGCUGUAAACCUCUUUUCUCAAGGAAGAAGAUAUGACGGUACUUGAGGAAUAAGCCACGGCUAAUUCCGUGCCAGCAGCCGCGGUAAUACGGGAGUGGCAAGCGUUAUCCGGAAUUAUUGGGCGUAAAGCGUCCGCAGGCGGCUUUUCAAGUCUGCUGUUAAAGCGUGGAGCUUAACUCCAUCAUGGCAGUGGAAACUGAAAGGCUUGAGUAUGGUAGGGGCAGAGGGAAUUCCCGGUGUAGCGGUGAAAUGCGUAGAUAUCGGGAAGAACACCAGUGGCGAAGGCGCUCUGCUGGGCCAUUACUGACGCUCAUGGACGAAAGCCAGGGGAGCGAAAGGGAUUAGAUACCCCUGUAGUCCUGGCCGUAAACGAUGAACACUAGGUGUCGGGGGAAUCGACCCCUUCGGUGUCGUAGCUAACGCGUUAAGUGUUCCGCCUGGGGAGUACGCACGCAAGUGUGAAACUCAAAGGAAUUGACGGGGGCCCGCACAAGCGGUGGAGUAUGUGGUUUAAUUCGAUGCAACGCGAAGAACCUUACCAGGGUUUGACAUCCUGCGAACCUCUUAGAAAUUUGAGGGUGCCUUCGGGAAUGCAGUGACAGGUGGUGCAUGGCUGUCGUCAGCUCGUGUCGUGAGAUGUUGGGUUAAGUCCCGCAACGAGCGCAACCCACGUUUUUAGUUGCCAGCAUUUAGUUGGGCACUCUAGAAAGACCGCCGGUGAUAAACCGGAGGAAGGUGUGGAUGACGUCAAGUCAUCAUGCCCCUUACACCCUGGGCUACACACGUACUACAAUGCUACGGACAAAGGGCAGCAAACUCGCGAGAGCUAGCAAAUCCCAUAAACCGUGGCUCAGUUCAGAUCGUAGGCUGCAACUCGCCUACGUGAAGUAGGAAUCGCUAGUAAUCGCAGGUCAGCAUACUGCGGUGAAUACGUUCCCGGGCCUUGUACACACCGCCCGUCACACCAUGGAAGUUGGCCAUGCCCGAAGUCGUUACUCCAACCCUUGUGGAGGAGGACGCCGAAGGUGGGGCUAAUGACUGGGGUGAAGUCGUAACAAGGU
rnacentral:rRNA from 1 species